AAUAGAGGGAGAUGCGGUAGAUUUCAAGCAUAUAUAUAUGUGUGUGUGUGUGUGUGUGUGUGUGUGUAUACACACUACACACACACAUAUAAAAAAGGUAAAGGUACCCCUGCCCGUAUGGGCCAGUCUUGCCAGACUCUAGGGUUGUGCGCUCAUCUCACU